UACGGAGGGUGCGAGCGUUGUCCGGAAUCACUGGGCGUAAAGGGCGCGUAGGCGGUUUGGUAAGCGUGCGGUGAAAGCCCGGGGCUCAACCCCGGGUCGGCCGUGCGGACUGCGAGACUGGAGCACGGUAGAGGCGGGUGGAAUUCCGGGUGUAGCGGUGGAAUGCGUAGAGAUCCGGAAGAACACCGGUGGCGAAGGCGGCCCGCUGGGCAGUGGCUGACGCUGAGGCGCGACAGCGUGGGGAGCAAACAGG
rnacentral:rRNA from 1 species